rnacentral:misc_RNA from 1 species
UUUCCGUUGGUGAACCAGCGGAGGGAUCAUUAAAGAGUAUAAGACCUUCGGGCUAGAUCUGACCCCCUUUGUCUAUUUCACCUUUGUUGCUUCUCCAGGCGCGUCUACGGCCCCCGGAUUACGGCCUGUCUGCGCUUGCGAGAAGACGUUAAACUCUUAUUAUUAAUGUAGUAUGAGUACUAAAAAAUAUUUAAAAUUUUCAACAACGGAUCAAUUGCUUCUGGCAUCGACAAAGAACGCAGCUGAUCGGAAGUGCCAACGUCUGAACUCCAGUCA